CGGUCAACCUCCAGUGAGUCAUGUUGACUAGAAAUGGUGGCAACACAACAUGGUUUCUUAGAGGAUAUCCUCAAGAUAUAUUCCUUUACCAUUGCUUAUUAGUCUUCUGGGAUCCCAGGAGCAAAGAAUGAAAUGCUUCCUGAACUUAGAUUCAGGUGGGAGAGAGGUCUGACCCAUCUUGUCAUUCACUCACUAAAUGACUGGGGGCUGGUCACUUUUCCUCGUGGGGGGUCUCAGAUUCCUUAUUGGUAUGGGGAGAAGUUUGAUCAGGUGAUUCUGAUGAUUCCAUCAAAUCAAAUUUCUUCAGUUUCCUCUUCCCUAGCUGGAAAGAUUAUUGGGAGUGUCUAGAGAGCUGAAGUACCGUGUUGUGCUACAUAGACGUCGACGGUGAUGGGCAGUUGGGUGUCUUCUAACUGAAUGAUCUCGGCAAGACAUCCUGACCUUCUGAGGAGGCCAGAUGUUUUAUCCUGCUACGUUAAGUCAUCUUGACAUGCUGCCACGAAAUGGAAACAACUGCUAGUUUUAAUAUCGCUCCAUAUCUUUAUUACAAGUCGAAAGGCUUGGACUUCAUGGAUGAGGACUUGUGUUUUCAUUUGAAUGAGGAACCGACUGUCUGAGCCAGCAGCUGAAGAUUCCAAAGAAUCAUGGUGUCUCCUCUGACAAUGGGUCCUUAGAGAGCCCUCUUCUAUCCCAGCAGCAAAGGCCCCUCACUGUGAUCGUCCGGUGGUGCUGACUUGCCCAUGAAACCCUCGGUCCUACACCUUGGAGACUGCCUUCUGUCCAAAGUGUUUGAGACGGGGCCCUGGUUUUAUGAACUCAGUGCCUGUCUCUGAAAGACAGCAGAUGCAAUGAGGCCCCGGAUGGAAACAAUAAAUACCAUUCAGAUUUCCCGCACGGAGCUUCUUAUAGUGGCGCCUUUGUUGAGGGAAACAGGGAUUGAAAUGCCUUCCCCCACCCUUCCUUUUCCCUCCAGCCCCCUUUCACUGCUAGGAUCUCAACCACCUCUGGAAAGCAAAG
ensembl:lncRNA